ACGGAAGCCCGGGGAGGCCAAGGUCGAUCCGGAAGAGAAGGCUCGACCUCCCGAACCAGGCGACCUAGCACGGAUCCCGGUACCCACGCGGAGCCACAGCCGCGAAUAUGGCAGAAGCGUUGCGGGCCUGCGUAAUUGCGAAAAGCGGACGGAUUCGGCGGCCCUUUGGGUGGGGUCGCAGCCGGGGCGCAUCGCAAGAUCGCCGAGGCCACCCACGCAACCCCUUGUUGCACGCUUGGUAACUGAGUUCCGUGCUAGCGGGCGGCGAGCCGUAAUUUACGGAGCGUCGCCCGCUUUGCGUG
rnacentral:ncRNA from 1 species